rnacentral:rRNA from 1 species
CUCAGGAACGAACGCUGGCGGCAGGUCUUAGACAUGCAAGUCGAACGGGUGUAGCAAUACAUCAGUGGCGCACGAGUGAGUAACGCGUGGGAAGCUACCCAGUCACUGGGGAAUAACGUUUGGAAACGAACGCUAAUACCGCAUACGCCCGAAAGGGGAAAGAUUUAUCGGUGAUGGAUGUGCCCGCGUUGGAUUAGCUUGUUGGUGGGGUAACGGCCUACCAAGGCGAUGAUCCAUAGCUGGUCUGAGAGGACGAUCAGCCACGCUGGGACUGAGACACGGCCCAGACUCCUACGGGAGGCAGCAGCUAAGAAUAUUGGACAAUGGGGGAAACCCUGAUCCAACGCCAUGCCGCGUGAAUGAAGAAGGCCUUCGGGUUGUAAAGUUCUUUUAGUAGUGAAGAUGAUGACAGUAGCUACAGAAAAAGCACCGGCUAACUUCGUGCCAGCCGCCGC